UACAGAGGGGGCAAGCGUUGUUCGGAAUUACUGGGCGUAAAGGGCGCGUAGGCGGCCUGUUAAGUCGAACGUGAAAUCCCCGGGCUCAACCCGGGAACUGCGUCCGAUACUGGCGGGCUUGAAUUCGGGAGAGGGAUGCGGAAUUCCAGGUGUAGCGGUGAAAUGCGUAGAUAUCUGGAGGAACACCGGUGGCGAAGGCGGCAUCCUGGACCGAGAUUGACGCUGAGGCGCGAAAGCCAGGGGAGCAAACGGG
rnacentral:rRNA from 1 species